AUGGAAUCUGGGAGGGGAGGCAGACAGACACAGCCCAGGCUCCUUGACAAUACAGAAACAUGGUAACAUAGAAAUGCAGCUCACAGCAAACUGCAGGUGACUUCACAGCCCUCUCUGCAAGGGUAAGAUCCUUGUUUUACAUCCUGUACACUUCCACAGGAACUCAACCAGUGAUUGAUAAGCAAGAAUGAUUCUUUGGAGUUCGUUAGGAGUAAUGUCACCAUGAUGGCAACAUAGGUGGUUCCUAACUUCCCUUCCCCUCACCAGAACAACCAACCUCUAGUCAUGACAUGACUGAGAGAAUCCUAGAACACGGGGACGAGGCUGAAGUACCCACGGCGCCUCAGAGACCAAGCCAGACUGCAUGAGAAGGAAAGCAGAAAUAGAGCUGAAAAGUCUAACUACCAAAGUCACCUGCUCCAGUUACAGGAACUAUCAACUGCUUUUCAUCUAAACAAGCAGGGCCCCAUCUUAGGUAAAGCAAGAAUUGCUUCCUUCCUAGUACCCCAUCAAAGAAGGAAGAGGAGAGCAUCUUCUUUCUCUCUGAAGUCAGCCUCCCAAGAUUUCCCACCAUUUUGACACUUGUCCUCACCUGCUCUGGAUUAUUGGUCUCACAUUCCCCUUCACUUUUUAUGCCAACUUGGGACCUGGUUUUACUGGAAUUGAAAGUUAGUAGACACAGAAGUUUAGUAUCACAGAACUUCUUACCGUUCAAAAGUAACUUAUUGUCACUGUAUUAUAAUUCUCCUUUGCCCUUGAAAACAAAUGUCACAUCGCAUUCUUUUCCUCAUUUACUCUUUCUAAUGAGAGCCUGUGUUUAUAACUUGGAGUUGAAGAAAUAGAAUUAUGUUGGAGGGCUAAUAAGAGUCAGGUCUAUAAAUAUUAUUUCUAGAAUUUUCUUUCCUACGUCUAAAGAGGAUCCAUAUCAGAAGAGAAGGAAAAAAUACACCUUAUAACUAAAAACAGCAAAGAACUAUGCUGUUGUUGAUGAUGGUGUUUUAAAUAUACGAAUUCAAGUUUAAAUGAUCUAACAUCCUGCUCUAUUAUUCUUUGUUUGGGUUAUGCUGACUAAUAUUUUAGUUGUCACGGAAAGUACCUUAAGUCCCAAGAAUUAAGUUUAUUCAGUCUCAUAGAGCUUUAACGCUAUCUGAAAACAAAACCAUAAAUGUAAAAUACAUUUCCUACUUUUUGAAAAGGUAAGGCAGCUUAAAACCACAGCCUCUGUAUAACAAUAAAAAAACAACAAAAGCAAUAUAAAGAGGAAAAGGAUGUUAUUAAAAGUUACAAGAAAAAAGUUAUAUCAAAAGAUAUCAUCUGAGGGAAACAAAAAAAAAAUUGAAUCCCAGUGUUACUGCAGAGUCCCCUAGUAGACAAAGCUAAGGAAGAAACCCAAUGAGCAGUAUGGCUCUCACUGUAUAAUGAAGGAAGUAUACCAGAAAUUAGGGGUGAGACACUUAGACCUGAAGAGAUUUAAAGAAUCUAUCACAGGAUCCCCCACAUAAAACAUAGUAGUAAUUAAAUGUACAGUGUGCUCAUAAUAGUAUUACAAAAUACAUAUCUAAUAAAACCUGUCUGUUC